GACGAACGCUGGCGGCGUGCUUAACACAUACAAGUGGAGCGACGAACCAGGGCUUGCCCUGGGGCAGAGCCGCGAACGGGUGAGUAACACGUGGGUAACGUGCCCCAAUGAUCGGGACAACCCGGGGAAACCCGGGCUAAUACCGAAUGUGCUCCCCUCACACCAGUGAGGGGUGGAAAGGAAGCUUCGGCCUCCGCAUUGGGAUCGGCCCGCGGCCCAUUAGCUUGUUGGUGAGGUAACGGGUCACCAAGGCUGCGAUGGGUAGCUGGUCUGAGAGGACGAUCAGCCACACUGGGACUGAGACACGGCCCAGACUCCUACGGGAGGCAGCAGUGGGGAAUCUUGCGCAAUGCGCGAAAGCGUGACGCAGCAACGCCGCGUGGGGGAAGAAGGCCUUCGGGUUGUAAACCCCUUUCAGGAGGGACGAAGCCUCGGCCGUUAAUAGCGGACCGAGGUGACGGUGCCUCCAGAAGAAGCCCCGGCUAACUACGUGCCAGCCGCCGCGGUAACAC
rnacentral:rRNA from 1 species